AAACGCUUGCUGAAGUGGGGCGUCCGUUUGGCUGUGCGGGAUGUAUCAAGUUUGCAGUCACGUCCGGUCAGAAGGGGGACGUUAAAUCCGAUGCCUCGUGUAAAGAGAGUGCCACGCUCUUUGCACGUUAAGAACCCUUGCAACAACUCUUUGAGGGGUCCGUAGAUGGCCUGUUGCAAGGCAAAAUUUCUGUCCCUAUCCAAUAUACCCUCAUUUUCCAGUGGCAGUCCAAAUUUCCCCGACCAUCAUCCUAGAUGGCCUCUAUUACAAC
rnacentral:lncRNA from 1 species